GGGCGGUUCUCUCCUGGCAGGUUAGUUGUGGUGGGCGGUUCUCUCCUGGCAGGCUAGUUGUGGUGGGCGGUUCUCUCCUGGCAGGCUAGUUGUGGUGGGCGGUUCUCUCCUGGCAGGCUAGUUGUGGUGGGCGGUUCUCUCCUGGCAGGUUAGUUGUGGUGGGCGGUUCUCUCCUGGCAGGUUAGUUGUGGUGGGCGGUUCUCUCCUGGCAGGUUAGUUGUGGUGGGCGGUUCUCUCCUGGCAGGUUAGUUGUGGUGGGCGGUUCUCUCCUGGCAGGUUAGUUGUGGUGGGCGGUUCUCUCCUGGCAGGUUAGUUGUGGUGGGCGGUUCUCUCCUGGCAGGCUAGUUGUGGUGGGCGGUUCUCUCCUGGCAGGCUAGUUGUGGUGGGCGGUUCUCUCCUGGCAGGCGAGUUGUGGUGGGCGGUUCUCUCCUGGCAGGCUUGUCGUGGUGACAUAUACUUUCCAUGUUUUAAUAAUGGAUUUAAAAUGGUGCUCCGUGGGAUGUUCAAAGUUUCUGAUAUUGCUUUUUUUUUUAAUAACCCAACCCUGAUCUGUACUUCUCCACAACUUUGUCCCUGACCUGUUUGGAGAGCUCCUUGGUCUUCAUGGUGCCGCUUGCUUGGUGGUACUGCAGACGCUGGUGCCUUUCAGAACAGGUGUAUAUAUACACUGAGCUCAUGUGACACUUAGGAUUGCACACAGGUGGACUUCAAUUAAUUAUGUGACUUCUGAAGGUAAUUGUUUGCACCAGAUCUUAUUUUAGGAGCUCCAUAGCAAAGGG